GGGGUUGUGGCUCAGUGGUAGAGUGCUCAUUUCGCACGUGAGAGACCCUGGGUUCGAUCCUCAGCACCACA
rnacentral:tRNA from 1 species